CUUGAACAGAUCUUGCCUGACAGUUUGCAAAAUCUAUUCUGGAAUCUCAGCUGGAAAGCAGCUGCAGCAAGAUUAGUGACCACAACCCUGGAAUGAGGAUAGGGAAGAAAAGGCUGGGAACUGCCACAGAAUUUGGCGGCUCAGUGCAGAGCACAGGCACAUGACUUGAAUCCCGAUUGGCUAAAAAGAUUUCAGUGGAAGAAGAAGAAGAAUAGCAGAACAAGAAGGACAUAACAAGAAUGGAUUUGGGGGUGUAGAGGAAUUCCAUUUUCUGUUGGUUUUAAAUAGGGGUUUCAAAUGGAAAUUGUAAACAGAAUUGGGCAGGAGGUGAACCUUGACCCCUAGUCCAAUUCUGCAAUGGCUGUGUUUGGGUUGUGUUUGCACACCGAAAAAUAUCUGCAUUCAGCUGAAACUAAACGGCUUUUGGGCAAACAUUUUCAAAAUCCUUAAUUUUUUUUAUUGAUUCUUGGCAUGCUUUGCAAAAUGAGAUGCCUACUCAUUUGCAUGGCCUCUCUGAAUUAACCUUCCCCCAUGUAGGUUCUCCAGAUGUUGCUGUACUGCAACUUUCAUCAUCUUCAGCUAGUCUGACCAAUAUUAGGAAAGGCUGCCUACGUGGAUUUCAUGACUGAGCCCUUCAGUGAUAAAAUCAUUUAGAUUAUGAUGGUAUUGCAAUCUGCCUUCUCCCCAUGUGCAUAAAAGUUGUUUUCCAUGCAGAAAUUUUAUUUUUCUGUGCAGAAAAUGUUCUUUUCUAUGGAGAAACUCUGUCUAUUAAACAACUCAUGCACAUUUUUUGUGCAGAAAAACUCUUGAAUUGUGAA